rnacentral:rRNA from 1 species
AUUGAACGCUGGCGGCAGGCCUAACACAUGCAAGUCGAUCGAGUGGCGGACGGGUGAGUAAUGUCUGGGAAACUGCCUGAUGGAGGGGGAUAACUCCUGGAAACGGUAGCUAAUACCGCAUACCAUCAGAUGUGCCCAGAUGGGAUUAGCUAGUUGGUGGGGUAACGGCUCACCAAGGCGACGAUCCCUAGCUGGUCUGAGAGGAUGACCAGCCAACCUGGAACUGAAGCACGGUCCAGACUCCUGCGGGAGGCAGCGGUGGGGAAUUUAGCACAAUGGGCGGAGGCCUGAUGCAGCCAUGGCGCGUGUAUGAAGAGGGCCUUCGGGUUGUAAGGUACUUUCAGCGGGAAGGCGUUACCCGCAGAAGAAGCACCGGCUAACUCCGUGCCAGCAGCCGCGGUAAUAC